rnacentral:rRNA from 1 species
UUCGAGGGAUGCAAGCGUUAUCCGGAAUUAUUGGGCGUAAAGCGUUUGUAGGCGGGCGAGUGUGUUUAAUGUUAAAUCUUAAAGCUCAACUUUGAAAUUGCGUUAAAAACUGCUUGUCUUGAGUAUGGUAGGGGUAAAGGGAAUUCCCAGUGUAGCGGUGAAAUGCGUAGAUAUUGGGAAGAACACUAAACAGCGAAGGCACUUUACUAGGCUAAUACUGACGCUGAGAAACGAAAGGUAAGGUAGCGAAACGGAUUAGAUACCCGUGUAGUCUUACCCGUAAACUAUGGACACUAAACGGUAAAUUUUUAAUUUACUGUUAAAGCUAACGCGUUAAGUGUCCCGCCUGGGGAGUAUGCUUGCAAAAGUGAAACUCAAAGGAAUUGACGGGGGCCCGCACAAGCGGUGGAGCAUGUGGUUUAAUUCGACGGUACACGAAGAACCUUACCAGGAUUUGACAUGCUAGAUAGUUGCUUGAAAGAGUAACGUGCCGUAAGGAAUCUAGACACAGGUGGUGCAUGGCUGUCGUCAGUUCGUGUUGUGAAAUGUUGGGUUAAGUCCCGCAACGAACGCAACCCUUGUCUUUAGUUAUUUUCUAAAGAGACUGCCUGUAAUAAACAGGAGGAAGGUAAGGAUGAGGUCAAGUCAUCAUGCCCCUUAUGUCCUGGGCUACACACGUGCUACAAUGGGAAAGACAAUGAGCUGCAAAUCUGUAAAUUUAAGCAAAUCUCUUAAACUUUCUCGUAGUUCGGAUUGUGGGCUGCAACUCGCCCACAUGAAGUUGGAAUCGCUAGUAAUCGCCAGUCAGCU